CCGGGGCGGGAGCCGGGCGCGCCCGCACUGCGGCCCUGUGACCCUGCGCCCUGGGCCGUCGGGCCAUCGAGGCCGCGCGGCCGCCCCUGCGCCGCUGUCCUGGGCCGGGACCAGGCGGACGCCCCCGCUGGGCAUGGGCAGCGCCGCGUGGCUUCGGGAGGCGCGGGACCCGGAGCCAGGCCCAGACCAGACCCGGCCGGGCCCGGCCCCUGAGCAGCGCACUCCAACAGGUCGUUUCCAGGAUUUGCUGAAUCUUUUUUCUGCAACGUUAUCCGUAUCGGAGCUCCAGGAGGAGGGAAUGAAUGCCAUCAACCUGCCCCUUAGCCCCAUCCCCUUUGAACUGGACCCUGAGGACACCAUGCUAGAGGAGAAUGAAGUGCGGACCAUGGUGGAUCCCAACUCACGCAGUGACCCAAAACUUCAAGAACUGAUGAAGGUAUUGAUCGACUGGAUUAAUGACGUGUUGGUUGGAGAAAGAAUCAUUGUGAAAGACCUGGCUGAAGAUUUAUAUGACGGACAAGUGCUGCAGAAGCUCUUUGAGAAACUUGAGAGCGAGAAGCUAAAUGUUGCUGAGGUCACCCAAUCAGAGAUUGCUCAGAAGCAAAAACUGCAGACUGUCCUGGAGAAGAUCAACGAAACUCUGAAACUUCCUCCCAGGAGCAUCAAGUGGAAUGUGGACUCUGUUCACGCCAAGAGCCUGGUGGCCAUCUUGCACCUGUUGGUUGCUCUGUCUCAGUAUUUCCGUGCACCAAUCCGACUCCCAGACCAUGUUUCCAUCCAAGUGGUUGUGGUCCAGAAACGAGAAGGAAUCCUCCAGUCUCGGCAAAUCCAAGAGGAAAUAACUGGUAACACAGAGGCUCUGUCCGGAAGGCAUGAACGUGAUGCCUUUGAUACCUUGUUCGACCAUGCUCCAGAUAAACUCAAUGUAGUGAAAAAGACACUCAUCACUUUCGUGAACAAGCACCUGAAUAAACUGAACCUGGAGGUCACAGAACUGGAAACCCAGUUUGCAGAUGGGGUGUACCUGGUGCUGCUCAUGGGGCUCCUGGAAGGCUACUUUGUACCCCUGCAUAGUUUCUUCCUGACCCCAGACAGCUUUGAACAGAAGGUCUUGAACGUCUCCUUUGCCUUUGAGCUCAUGCAAGAUGGAGGGUUGGAAAAGCCAAAACCACGGCCAGAAGAUAUUGUCAACUGUGACCUGAAGUCCACGCUGCGAGUGCUGUACAACCUCUUUACCAAGUAUCGAAAUGUGGAGUGAGGGCUGGAACCCCUGCAGCCCAGCUGCUCUCACUGAAGGCAAACUGAACAGCCUCCGGACCUCCUUGCCCUGCUUGUCCCUAUCUCCUACUCUGUGCUCUCCCACAAGCCCAGCAUCAGCCCAGACAUAGUGGGAAUUAACAUCAGAAAGGAAAUACCAGUAAUUCAGUGGGCUGACCCACAUCUCCCAGGCCCUGAGGUAACCUGGGAAAAGUGUCCUAUCCAGGUGCAGGUUCAGGUUCCCCUCUUCAAAGAACGAGAGAGUCCCCAGAAUAUGUACCUAAAGAUCACAGUUACCAGUGAUGAGUAUCAAUGAUGCCAGGCACUGCACUCAGGGCUCUGUCAUACUCAAGUUCAUUAACCAUCACAACUCCACAGAAGUACAUGUCCCCUUUAUAGAUGAGGAAACUGAGUCUCAGAGAUCGGAUGACUUGCCAGAAGUUGGUAUUUGUUUUACUUUUUUUGUUUUUUUAAUACAGGGUCUCACUGUGUAGCCAAAGCUGGCCUCAUACUCAGGAUCCUCCUGCCUCAGCCUCCCAAAUGCUGAGAUUAUAGGUGUACACCUCCACACCCAGCUUGUUUUUCCUCUUUGAACAACCUGGUUGUUAAUAACAAGUCAGUUACACUCCAUUCUUUGCACACCCUAGGUAAGUGCUUUACCACUUGAGUCACAACUCCACCACUACUCUUUGCGCAUUCUACAGUGUAUAUGUGCACACAUUGCCCAAGCACACCUGUGGCCUCAAAGACAGAAAGCACUGAUCUCGCUGCUGGGGCAGGCUAGGUCAGGGCUUGGUGAUUCACACUGAAAUUGGCAAUUAAUUGUGUGUGUGUGUGUGUGUGUGUGUGUGUGUGUGUGUGUGUGUGUAUGGCAGGAGUCAUGUCCUCAGAAUCCUUUGUGUAAAUGAAAAUUACUCUUAAUUCCUUCAGAUUUAUAAUAACCCCAUACUCUGGUUUCAGGGUGACAUUUGGGAAGGAUUCUGUUUAGAAUUAAUGGAGUGGCACAUUUUGCAGCCUUUUUGCUUGAUUGCAUGUAAUGGAAAUGCCCUAUAUUUUCCUGCAAAAUAAGUACUCAAUUUCAUUAUCGCUAGGCAAACGUACAAUAUACUCAGGCACAGCAGAGAGCUGGGUGCAGGCCCAUGUGAGCAUCACUUGGGAAGUAGGGCUCUUCAACAGGGACCCUUGAACUUUAAAGAAAGGAACUCCUUUUUGCGUUCUAAUUGAUCAUUUAGACCAUUCUGGCUAAGUCUGCCCACAUGCAA